rnacentral:rRNA from 1 species
UACGUAGGGUGCGAGCGUUGUCCGGAAUUACUGGGCGUAAAGAGCUCGUAGGUGGUUUGUCGCGUUGUUCGUGAAAACUCACAGCUUAACUGUGGGCGUGCGGUCGAUACGGGCAUGACUGGAGUUCGGCAGGGGAGACUGGAAUUCCUGGUGUAGCGGUGAAAUGCGCAGAUAUCAGGAGGAACACCGGUGGCGAAGGCGGGUCUCUGAGCCGAUACUGACGCUGAGGAGCGAAAGCGUGGGGAGCGAACAGG